rnacentral:rRNA from 1 species
GGGCGAGGUGUCGGAUUACUGGGCGUAAGAGCUCGUAGGUGGUUUGUCGCGUUGUCCGUGAAAACUCACAGCUUAACUGUGGGCGUGCGGGCGAUACGGGCAGACUGGAGUACUGCAGGGGAGACUGGAAUUCCUGGUGUAGCGGUGGAAUGCGCAGAUAUCAGGAGGAACACCGGUGGCGAAGGCGGGUCUCUGGGCAGUAACUGACGCUGAGGAGCGAAAGCGUGGGGAGCGAACAGGAUUAGAUACCCUGGUAGUCCACGCCGUAAACGGUGGGUACUAGGUGUGGGUUUCCUUCCUUGGGAUCCGUGCCGUAGCUAACGCAUUAAGUACCCCGCCUGGGGAGUACGGCCGCAAGGCUAAAACUCAAAGAAAUUGACGGGGGCCCGCACAAGCGGCGGAGCAUGUGGAUUAAUUCGAUGCAACGCGAAGAACCUUACCUGGGUUUGACAUGCACAGGACGCCGGCAGAGAUGUCGGUUCCCUUGUGGCCUGUGUGCAGGUGGUGCAUGGCUGUCGUCAGCUCGUGUCGUGAGAUGUUGGGUUAAGUCCCGCAACGAGCGCAACCCUUGUCUCAUGUUGCCAGCACGUGAUGGUGGGGACUCGUGAGAGACUGCCGGGGUCGACUCGGAGGAAGGUGGGGAUGACGUCAAGUCAUCAUGCCCCUUAUGUCCAGGGCUUCACACAUGCUACAAUGGCCGGUACAAAGGGCUGCGAUGCCGUGAGGUGGAGCGAAUCCUUGUAAAGCCGGUCUCAGUUCGGAUUGGGGUCUGCAACUCGACCCCAUGAAGUCGGAGUCGCUAGUAAUCGCAGAUCAGCAACGCUGCGGUGAAUACGUUCCCGGGCCUUGUACACACCGCCCGUCAAGUCACGAAAGUUGGUAACACCCGAAGCCGGUGGCCUAACCCCUUGUGGGAGGGAGCUGUCGAAGGUGGGACUGGCGAUUGGGACUAAGUCGUAACAAGGUAACC